UACGUAGGGUCCGAGCGUUGUCCGGAAUUACUGGGCGUAAAGAGCUCGUAGGUGGUUUGUCGCGUUGUCCGUGAAAACUCACAGCUUGACUGUGGGCGUGCGGGCGAUACGGGCAGACUGGAGUACUGCAGGGGAGACUGGAAUUCCUGGUGUAGCGGUGGAAUGCGCAGAGUAUCAGGAGGAACACCGGUGGCGAAGGCGGGUCUCUGGGCAGUAACAUGACGC
rnacentral:rRNA from 1 species